UCUGCAGCUUGGCAAAAAAGCCAGACGUUACCUCAUAGCUGCGGCCAGACAGCCCAUUUCUAUGCCAAGCAACCGCUGCAGAAGCACACAGCACAGGGCCCUGCUUGAUUAGCACUUCUGCUGUUUCAAGAGUCCUGGAGUGUUUUGUUCAAGGUGAAAAAGAAAAAACAAAGGAUAUGAACAGGUACCAAAGAACUACAGUUCUGUUAGUCACCCCCACUGUUGACGCAAAUUGAUAGAAGACUCGGACUAUUAAAUAAAUAUUCAGCCUCUGUGUAAAAUGUCACCUGAUGAACGAACAGUCUCUGUUCUGAAGUUGUUGCAUCAAAGGCUCAGGACAAGACCUGGGAAGAGGAGAGAGCUGUAAGCAAAGUCACGUAGCAGAAACAACUGGACUGGAAGAGCACCCAGAGCAAGCUGGAAAGAAGAAAUCUUUGAUCUCCUCCUUUGUUAUUAUUGUGUCCCAAAAGAGAGAGAAAUACUUCCUGUUAAGUUACUCUGUUAAAAAACAUGGGCAGCAGGAGAUCUGAUGGUUUGAUCUUCUUAGAGUUUUUUAUUCCUUAAGUUUGACAUCUCAGUGCUAGAAUUCUACUCCUGAGUUUUGUUUUUACAUCUCUUCACCAUGUUUUUGGGGGGGAGUUGGUUGUUUGUGUUGGGUUUUGGUUUUGGUUUUUAAAAAGUUGAAAAUAAAGUGUGACCAAAACAAGCCUGUGUUUGUGAGAUGCUGUAUC